rnacentral:rRNA from 1 species
GAGUUUGAUCGUUGGCUACAGAUUGAACGCUGGCGGCAUGCCUUACACACUGCAAGUCGAACGGCAGCAUGAUCUAGCUUGCUAGAUUGAUGGCGAGUGGCGAACGGGUGAGUAAUACAUCGGAACGUGCCCUGUAGUGGGGGAUAACUAGUCGAAAGAUUAGCUAAUACCGCAUACGACCUGAGGGUGAAAGUGGGGGGACCGCAAGGCCUCAUGCUAUAGGAGCAGCCGAUGUCUGAUUAGCUAGUUGGUGGGGUUAAAGGCCCACCAAGGCGACGAUUCAGUAGCCUGGUCUGAGAGGACGAUCAGCCACACU